AAGUCGUAAACGAUCGUUCGUGGACACUGCGGAAGGAUCAUUAAUAAUGCCCUCUGACGCAAGUCAUUGGGUUAGAUCUGCUCUCUUCGCAAGAAGAGGGUUUCCAUACACACCGUGAACUGUGGCUUCGGCCAUCACAAACUGUUAGUAAUGAAUGUAAUAUCAUAACAAAAACAAAA
rnacentral:misc_RNA from 1 species